AGCACUUUGGCGCAGUGGAAGCGCGGUAUGUUAUUAUAAUCUACUUAAAAGAUAUCGAACUCAUCACUAACUCAUCCAAGCCGGGCUCAUAACCCGGAGGUCGCACGAUCGAAACGUGCAAUUGCUA